GGUGAUUGAGGGCCUAAAGGCGCUCAGGGAGCCAAAGGGGUCUAAGGAGAAGAGGGACCCGCAGGACAACAGGAGAGCCAGGGGAGAGGGGAAACGGUGGAUUCCCAGGCGCUCAAGGACCCAGUGGACAGAGGAUGUUGUACACUGGAGCUGGAAUGAACCCUGUCAGAUCCUUCGUCCUGCUACGUUCAAGACGAACUUCAUGAACCACUGGGUAAGAAAAAUAUGUAUAAAUUAUGCAU